rfam:Felis catus isolate Cinnamon breed Abyssinian chromosome E2, whole genome shotgun sequence.
GCCUGGGUGGCUCAGUCGGUUGAGCGUCCGACUUCGGCUCAGGUCACGAUCUCGCGGUCCGUGAGUUCGAGCCCCACGUCGGGCU